GGCGGCGGGAAACUGGGGGAGGGGUGAGGAUGGAGGGAGGCUGGGCCUGGAGGCUGUGUCGGACCGGGCCCUCUGGCCUCCGCUGCGCUGAGCGGAAGAGAGGACCGCGGUGGGGACCGUGCCCUUUCUUCCGCCCCGCCCCUUGGGACCACCUCCAUUCCCCCCUGCUGUCCGGUGGCGGCUGUCUGGCCCGGGUCUGGUAGUUGGGCUCCCCGAGGCCGCCCUUUCAGGCCUCCGUCUCCUGACCCCGCGGAGAGGCCAUCUCCCUGCGGUCACAGCGGGGCCUUCUCUGCGCCCAACUCUACUUUCCCAAAGAGAAAAGGCCGGUUGGGAUUCCGGGAAUUUCCCGCCAGAGCAGGGCUUCCUCUGGAGGGAGAGCCGUUUUCAACGAGGAAGUUGAGCUUUCGCUCCCACCUGGCUUCACCUCUCUGCUUCCUUGAAACCUGAAUGCUACUUCUCGACUACCGUGUCUCGCGUAAACAAUUCUCCAACUCUUUUCCCCUGUGACAUUUCCCUGGGAUGCGCUAUCGCUAGAGCCACCACCCGAGAGAAACGCCUGGACCCUUCUGCACAGGUUAUGAAAGCCCCCUUAACUGCCGCAGUUUUCUUACCUGGCUCAUCGCCUCUUGGAUUUUGUAUCUUUACUAAAGUCAGUGAUGUGAAAAGACCUGAAAUGGAUGACACUGCCGAAGGGGUAAAGAUGGACGCUGGGGAGGUGACCUUAGUGAACCACAGCUCCCCCUUGAGAACCCACCUCCUUCCACAGUCAGGCUUUCCAGAGGACCAGCUUUCUGACCAGCAGAUCCUGCCUUUCAGGCAGGGGACUUUAGACCCAGCUUUCACGGGUUCUGCGAGAAAUGCAGCCUAUAAUCCAGAUUAUCACUCAGAUAACCCUUCCUCAGACAGUUUCCUUGGCUCAGGUGACACAAGAACCUUUGGUCAAAGUGCAAAUGGACAGUGGAGAAAUUCCACUCCAGCGUCAGGCCUAGCAGCACAGAAGCCAAGAAAUAGCCGAAGUCUUUACCUCGAAACCCGGAAGACCUCAAGUGGCUUAUCAAGCACGGUUGUGGGAAAGUGCAGUCACCUCUGCCACAUGUCUGCCUACGAGAAGUCGUUCCCCAUUAAGCCUGCCCCAAGCCCAUCGUGGAGUGGGGCGUGUCGUCGGAGCCUUUUAAGCCCUAAGAAAACUCAGAGGCGACACUUCUGCACAGCAGAAGAGACAGUUCAAGCAGAAGAAAAGGAGAUCUACAGACAGCUACUGCAGAUGGUCACUGGGAAGCAGUUCUCUGUAGCUAAGCCCACCACACAUUUCCCGUUACACCUGUCUCGGUGUCUUAGUUCCAGUAAGAACUCUUUGAAAGACUCGCUGUUGAGAAAUGGAAACUCUUGUGCAUCUUACGUCAUGGGUUCUGAUACAUCAUCCUCUGGAUCUGCCAGUAUUUUAACUGCACAGGAGCAGUUGUCCCACAGUGCACAUUCUCUGUCAUCUGGUACCCAGGAUGUUGCCUUUGGAUCCAAAGACUCUGACCCUCACCAUCACAUCUCUGCACCUCAUCAGCCAGAUAGCUUACCAGCAUCCAAUGCACAGUCCGAAGGGUCAGACUCUGUGAUUUUACUCAAAGUGAAAGACUCUCAGACUCCAGCUUCCAGUCCUACGUUCUUCCAGGCAGAGCUAUGGAUCAAAGAAUUAACUAGUGUUUAUGAUUCUCGAGCUCGGGAAAGAUUGCGCCAGAUUGAAGAACAGAAAGCAUUGGCAUUACAGCUUCAAAACCAGUUCUGUCUACAGAGAUUGCAGGAGCAGGAGCAUGCGGUUCUUGAUUCCAUAGAGCUUCACCUUCGUGUGCCUCUUGAAAAGGAGAUUCCUGUCACAGCUGCCCAAGAAACCAGGAAGAAAAGUCACCAACUGACCGAUAGUGAAGAUGAAUUUCCUGAAAUUACAGAGGAAAUGGAAAAAGAAAUAAAAAAUGUAUUUCGUAAUGGUAACCAGGAUGAAGUCCUCAGUGAGGCAUUCCGCUUGACCAUCACACGCAAGGACAUUCAGACUCUAAACCAUCUAAACUGGCUCAAUGAUGAGAUCAUCAAUUUCUACAUGAAUAUGCUAAUGGAACGCAGUAAAGAGAAAGGAUUUCCAAGUGUACAUGCGUUUAAUACCUUCUUCUUCACUAAGCUAAAAACAGCUGGUUAUCAGGCAGUGAAGCGGUGGACAAAGAAAGUGGAUAUAUUUUCUGUUGACAUUCUUCUGGUGCCCAUUCACUUGGGUGUGCACUGGUGUCUAGCUGUUGUAGACUUUAGAAAGAAGAGCGUCACCUACUAUGAUUCUAUGGGUGGAAUAAACAACGAGGCCUGCAGGAUCCUCUUGCAAUACCUAAAACAAGAAAGUGUUGACAAGAAAAGGAAAGAGUUUGACACCAAUGGCUGGCAGCUCUUCAGCAAGAAAAGCCAGGAAAUCCCACAGCAGAUGAAUGGAAGUGACUGUGGAAUGUUUGCUUGCAAAUAUGCUGACUGCAUUACCAAAGACAGACCGAUCAACUUCACACAGCAACACAUGCCAUAUUUCCGGAAGCGAAUGGUCUGGGAGAUCCUCCACCGGAAACUCUUGUGAAGACUGUCUCAGGGAGCAGACACUGAGCGAGUGGGGGACCAACCUUUGCCAUCGACAGCCAGAGACCUUGGAAACAGCUGCUCCUAACCCCUGUUCUUGUACAGCCCUUGAUCCUGGACCAGACCAGGCAAGAUGCAUUCACAAGCACAUCUGCCUUUCCUUUUGUAUCUCAGAUACUAUUUUUGCAAAGAAACUUUGGUGCUGUGAAGGGGUGAGGGACAUCCCUCCUGAAGAGAGAGACUGCUUUUCACUUCAGCUCUGCCAUCUUGUUUCCUAAGGGCUCCAGCUCUCUGAGUCCUCAUUAGGAGUCCAAGGAAAACUCGGGAAGAAUCUUGGUUUCAUAUGAAUUCUUGUUGCUAGGCCUUACCGAGAAGUAGGAAAGGGCAUGGGCAGCAGGUAGGGAUGAAAACCGCCAGCAUGUAGACACACACAGUCCCCACGAUGCAGAGUCAGGAAUUUCCAUGGAGACGAUAAACUGGACUCUGAGGCACAAGCUCAAGGCCCCUCCUCCAGAACCUUCCUAUUUAUGUGCCCUCCAUGAAACCGACUGCUUCUCCUCAAAGCUGUUUCGUCACUGGUAGAGUCAUCCCAUCCUGAGCACACUGCACUGCCCCGGCAGACCCUAACGCCUCAAGCAGUCCUUUCCUUACAAGGAGGGUUGCAUGUGUGAGCACGCACGUGCUGUGUGAGGGCCCAGCCAGAAGUAUCGAGUGCAACAGCCGGGCCACAGCUUCACUGCUGCCUGCUUCUGACCAGGAAGGACCUCAGCGUCAGCAUCACUGAGCAGAGGCGGAUGAGGGCAGGUCUCGGUGCUCUGUGGCUGUUAGUUUAAAUAUGUUUCUAACCACAGAGAAUUUUAUAGACAUAUAUACCUGUAUGUGUGUAUACAUACAUAUAUAUAUACACACACAAUGUGAAAUAUAUAUUUCACGGGGAAAUGCUUUUAAAAAAAAAAGACUGAAUGUGUUGACCAUUUAGUCUGCAGGUUUAUUUUCAUCUUUCAGAUUCCAGCACACAGUGAUCCCAGCAAGCCCUGUGUACUGGGCAUUUGUAGAUUCCCUAAGAGUAUUUUGAGACCUGGAUGAAUUUGGUUUAGGAGUAAAGGUUAUCAAGGUAAAUGACGCUGUCAGCUGAAGAGCAGGUGGAACGUAGAUAGACUUGAGGUUUUUAAACUGCUCUUUCUUGUUGUUUGUAGCACCUCUCCCCCCUCAAAGAGCUCCUGAGGUGAGAUGGUGAGGGGGUGCAGUGCCAGUGUCGUUUUGUACUUAAGUUCCACAACAGGGACAUUUUGUACUUUCUGUAUGGUGAGCGGUAGUUUUCUAUGCAGUUUCCUCCCUGCCCCCGCCCAGCCCAUCCAGCACUGUGCUCUCCGGGCUUAUUUGGAUAUUUUACUGUUUUAUACCAAGCUUGUUUAGUACAUUUUCUAUGUUUUACCACAAGUUACAAUUUGAAAAACAACAACAACUAUUUUUUUUACUACUCCAUUGUUAAAUGACUGUCCCGUCUCCACUCCAGCAGCCUGUGCCCUCUGGCCUCCCCUGCAUGCUGGGGACGAGGGCCUGCUGUGCAUUUGUGUUUCUUUCUCUCGCUGCUUCUCUUCCUCACUCUCUCCCUUUCUUUUUCUCUUGAUUUUCCAUAGGAAAUAAAUAGCUUUCUUUAUAUGAGUUGCUGGGCCCUUUCACAUUCUCUUUUAGAAAGCUGGCACACAGCCUUAGCACAGGACACAAGGAUAUCGUCUGAUUCUGGUACUCAACUGUAUUUAAGUGACAGCGUGCACGGUGGCAGUCUGGCCUACUUGCUUCUCAAGCUUUUCUCACUGUUAUCUGGGGCUCAUCACAAGAUGGUUUUCUGUGUUUAUUGUUUGUUCCUUAGACAAUAUCUGUUUUAUCUCCCUCAGAGACUUUUUGUGUGGACCAAAGCAACAAAUAUUUACUGCCAUGAAUAGCAGAGUAUGAGACAUGCAACAAAAGCACUUUGCAAAAUAUAUAGAAUUGUUGAGCCAGUCUGAAGUUGGCUCCCCUUCUCCAGUGCAGUAUCGAAAUCAAUUUUCUCUACAUUGGAGUGACACAGACAAUUCCUGGCCUUUCUUGGACAGCCUGUGACCACCAGACCAGCAAGGCUGUACCCACUGAGUCUCAUGAAAAAAAUAAAUCCAAUUGACCUCCA